ensembl:lincRNA
GCAGGAAGACAGAGGUGCCUGCGUGGCCGAGGCCUGGAAGGUCUGCACCAUGGUGCACAGAGGCCCCGGAGCUGGGUGAGGCCAGAAAGCUGCUCUGGGGUCAGCGGGGAAUGUGCCUGCUGAAUCUGCAAGCACCUGAGCUACGUCUUCACAAAUGGCCUCAGACCUAGAGUGCAGGGAGAUCCCCUGGCUUUUCUGAAGUGGUGGCCGGUGGUCUCCCGGGGAGCAGAACCUGGGCUGCUUACUUCCCUUACCCAGUGAGGGCCCGCGGGGAGCUCUUAAGUUGGGCAUCAUGGGUCUGCGUGAUGUGGCUGCUGUGCCCACAUCAGAGGGUUUUUGUUUCUUUUCCAAAGUCAAGCUGCACUAAUCUAGACCAGGGAUCCCCACCCCUGGGCUGUGGACCGGUCCCCAUGGGUGGCCUGUUAGGAACUGGACCGCACAGCAGGAGGUGGAACAGUUUAAUCCUGAAACCAUCCCCCCGUCUGUGGAAAAACUGCCUUCCACCAAACCAGUCCCUGGUGCCAAAAACGCUGGGAACCGCUAAUCUAGACAGUUCUCUGCUAAGGAAGCACGUGGUUGAGAAGCAUCAGAAUCGUUCCCACGGACCAUGCUCCGGAGUCUCAGCAGGCUCCUGCAGGUGAGCCCCACUGGCCUCUCCUCUUCCUUCCGGACCUCCUCAGCUUUGGUAAUGAAAAGCUGCAUCCUCUUCUGUCCCCAAUUCCUCUCUGGGUGUCAGGAUCUCUAAAACCCUCUCAGCCGCUGAGAAAUCUGUCUGUCUGUCUCACAGUGUGUUUAUCCGUGCAUCAUGAAGGACCCUCAUACGGCUGACGUGCCUUGGCUGAUGCGAGUAACACUGCAGCAAGCGUGGGAGUGCAGAUAGCUCUUGGAAAUACCCAUUUCCUUCAGAUGCAUACUCAGAGGUAGGAUUGCUGGAUUGUUUGGUCAUUUUGAUUUUUAAAAUUAAAAAGAAUUUUAAUUCUCAUAUUGUUUUGAGUAAAAUUAAAUUAUAACUUGUAAAGCAACUCCAUGUUUUUUAUAAUUUUUUAAAAAAAUAAUUGCUCUACCAAUUGACUGUCCCAACAACAACGUACAGGGGUAUUUUUUUUCCUCCGCAUCCUCACCACUUGUUACCUUUUGUCUUUUUAAUAAUAGCAAUCCUAAGACAUGUGAAGUGAUACCUCACUGUGAUUUUGAUUGGCAUUUUCCAGAUGAUUAGUCUAUUCAGGCCCUUUACUUUUUUUUGUUGUUGUUGUUGUUUUUGAGAUGGAUUCUCACUCUGUUGCCCAGGCUGGAGUGCGAUGGCACGAUCUCGGCUCACUGCAACCUCCGCCUUCCGGGGAGGAGUGAUUAGCCACCACGCCCGGCUAACUUUUGUAUUUUAGUAGAGAUGAGGUUUCACCAUGUUGGCCAGGCUGGUCUCGACCCCCUGAUCUCAGGUGAUCCACUUUGCCCAGCCUCCCAAAGUGUUGGGAUUACAGGUGUGAGCCACCACGCCCAGCCCCUUUGCUCUUUUUAAAUAGGAUUAUUACUAUUACAAUAUUUGCUUUUGAGUUGUGGGUGUUCCUUAUAUAUUUUGGAUAUAAACUCCUUAUCACAGGUAUGGUAUAUAUGGUUUGAAAUAUUUUCUCCCAUUAUCAUGCCCCAAUAUCACUAAGUUACAUUUCACUGCUCCCUCUUGAACACCUGAAAAAAUUUCCUAUUUCCAUGUGUCUGUAUCCAGGUUAUUGUCACUUUUACCUGAAGACACAUUUAUAUAUGCUGAUAUUCCCCAAUAACUAAUAUAUUUUUACUCUUUUUUUUUUUUUUUUUUUUUGAGAUGGAGUCCUGCUCUGUUACCCAGGGUGGAGUGCAGUGGCAUGAUCUCAGCUCACUGCAACCUCUGCCUCCCAGGUUCAAGUGAUUCUCCUGCCUCAGCCUCCCAGGUUGCUGGGAUUACAGGCACAUGCCACCACCACUAGCAAAUUUUUUUGUAUUUUUAUUAGAGAUGCGGUUUCACCAUAUGGGUCAGGCUGGUCUUGAACUCCGGACCUCAUAUGAUCCACCCGCCUUGGUCUCCCAAAGUGCUGGGAUUAUAGGCAUAAGCCGCUGCACCCGGCCCUAACUAAUAUAUUUUAAAUAACUUUUUGCUCUUGGCACAUGGACUAAAACCACAUCACCAGGCUUUCAAUGACAUCCAAUGUCUGCCAUCUUAUUUCCACUCCAGCUCCGCCCCAGGCAUAGUUGCCUUUCUUUUUAUUGAAGCCUUCUCCUUGCCAAGUUAAUUAAAGAGAAUGUUUUCUUCAUCAAAUUAGAAAUUACAUCCUCAGAGAAGCUUUCCAGUAUUUGUAGUUCUUACAGACCACAUUUAUUACAAGUUUAUAGACUCCAAACUUCUCCACUGAACAGUUAAUAAAAAGGACACAGGCUUAUUGUAAAAUAAUUCAUUUAGUGCCUGCCAUUCUGAUUACACUAGAAAUUUAGUUCUCCUGCUCCGCGUUCUGUUAUGUGACUGUUCAAUGCAUUACUUAAAACUGCAAGAUUGAAU